rnacentral:rRNA from 1 species
UUGUUAGUUGCCAUCAUUCAGUUGGGCACUCUAGCGAGACUGCCGGUAAUAAACCGGAGGAAGGUGGGGAUGACGUCAAAUCAUCAUGCCCCUUAUGACCUGGGCUACACACGUGCUACAAUGGUUGGUACAACGAGUUGCGAGUCGGUGACGGCGAGCUAAUCUCUUAAAGCCAAUCUCAGUUCGGAUUGUAGGCUGCAACUCGCCUACAUGAAGCCGGAAUCGCUAGUAAUCGCGGAUCAGCAUGCCGCGGUGAAUACGUUCCCGGGCCUU